UACGUAGGUGGCAAGCGUUAUCCGGAUUUAUUGGGCGUAAAGGGAACGCAGGCGGUCUUUUAAGUCUGACGUGAAAGCCUUCGGCUUAACCGGAGUAGUGCAUUGGAAACUGGGAGACUUGAGUGCAGAAGAGGAGAGUGGAACUCCAUGUGUAGCGGUGAAAUGCGUAGAUAUAUGGAAGAACACCAGUGGCGAAAGCGGCUCUCUGGUCUGUAACUGACGCUGAGGUUCGAAAGCGUGGGUAGCAAACAGG
rnacentral:rRNA from 1 species